ACACCACAUGGCAGGAAGUGUAAUGUUUGAUGAUCAUAUAUACGGUAGAUCUCUGCCUCUGGAAUAGAUUCAGCAUGCCCAAUCCCAGAAUGAAGUUGAGACAUCUGAGUUGUGUCCCCUUCUUUGUCAUAAUGCCAGCUAGUGUAAAGCUGAGAUUGAUCAAUGUACUCUAAGCUAACUUAGGACUGUGCUCUAGACCUGGUGUAUUCCUAAGGGAAUAGAGAGCCAACAGGUGAAUCACAAGAAGCAACUACCUAAACAAAGUUGAGAAUCUGAGAGUGUCCUACCAAACCUAUCCUGUCCUGUUCGAAGAAUUCCAGGCCAAGAAAAGUGAUGCACAGACUUCUACACUCUCUACACAUUUACUUGUUUUUAAAUGUCUAAAAUUGUUUGAAAAAGUUUAAUUACUUACUAGUACCGUGCAUAUGCAUGUAUCCACAUUUCAACAAUGAUAAAGCCAUUUAUUCCCAAGUCAAUAAAACAAUGUAUCAGUGUUUUCAAUAUUUUUAUUUGAAUUCAAGAUAAAAAGGUUAUUACAUGUA